UUGUAACAAGGACCGGUGCUAAAGGGUUCUAUCCAACAGCUACUGACAGGUGCUGUCGGGGCAGAGACCCUUUAGCACCGGUUUGUGUUAUAUA
rfam:Sorghum bicolor cultivar BTx623 chromosome 6, whole genome shotgun sequence.